rnacentral:rRNA from 1 species
GGAGCAUGUGGUUUAAUUCGACGCAACGCGCAGAACCUUACCAAGGCUUGACAUGGGGAAGACCGGACGAGAGAUCGUCCUUCCUCCAGCAAUGGAGCUUUCCACACAGGUGCUGCAUGGCUGUCGUCAGCUCGUGUCGUGAGAUGUUGGGUUAAGUCCCGCAACGAGCGCAACCCUCGUUUCUAGUUGCCAUCAUUCAGUUGGGCCCUCUAGAGAGACUGCCGCGAAUAACGCGGAGGAAGGUGGGGACGACGUCAAGUCAUCAUGGCCCUUACGUCUUGGGCUACACACGUGCUACAAUGGGCAUUACAAAGAGUUGCAAGAGCGCAAGCUGGAGCCAAUCCCCAAAGGUGUCCUCAGUUCAGAUUGAGGUCUGCAACUCGACCUCAUGAAGGUGGAAUCGCUAGUAAUCGCGGAUCAGAACGCCGCGGUGAAUACGUUCCCGGGCCUUGUACACACCGCCCGUCAAGCCACGAAAGGAGAGAGCGCUCUAAGUCGCUUCUGUAACCCGCAAGGGAGCAAAGCGCCUAAAGCGAGAUCUCUAAUUGGGGCU